ensembl:lncRNA
GUGUUUUUCCUUUACGUGAUCAAAAAGGGAUAUACGAUUUUUUUUAAAUGCUUUGAUUUUCGUUUUAUAUUUAGAAUAACAAGAAAGUAAAAUCAGUAAGAGACAGAAACGAAAAAAGGUCCGUUUUUUCAUUUUAUUAGACCGGAAGUGGUCAUCAGCAAGUGUGGAGCUAAACAGCAACAAGAUUCUCAGAGGGCGGAGCCAGAGAGCAGUGAUUGUUCAGACCACAGAUAAUAUAGAAGACAGCGCGCUAGCGGAUCUAGUCUGUGUUUAUCUAUGGUUGGCACGUCUGGUAGCAUCUCUGGCUGCUGUUGACCUUGUUUUUGGAGUAAAACACGGUGGAAGCUGAAUUAGUGAGGAUGACUCCUGCUCCUGUCAUCUCUAAGCUCCUCACACAUCUUUACCUGCACAUGAGGAAAAUCACUCCUGUAGAAUGCAGAUGCACAAUGAGGGACGUCUGCAGAGACUGAGAAAGAGUCUCACCACAUCCUGACAUGAGGAAAAAGACUUUAUUGAAGACUACAAUGAGAAAAACUAUCAGACAGCAGACGGCUGCAUUCAAGAGAGGAAGACCAUCAAACAUCCACAUCAGCUGAUGGAGGUCCAAGAGUCUCACCAAACAACCAACCUACAGAGUGAAGACCUCAAAUCUGAUUGGACGGCCUCCUAUUCAGCCACAUGUGAACAAAUGCCUCUAAGCUGAUUUGUUUUCUAAAAUAAAUCUAGUUUGAGUCCUAAUCUAUGCCUGUGUGUUUGCUUCUUUACAC